ensembl:lncRNA
CUGGAGAUUACUCUCAUUGGUGUUUUUUUUCUGUGAGCCUAUGAUAUGGAAUGGCUGUAUCACCUUGCUGGUGAUGUCCAUCCCAUCUGUGUCCCUCAGCUCCCACCAGAACAGGAGGUCAGCACGUGAAAGCCCACCUGCAGGAGAGAGGACUUUCUGGAAGGCAAGUUCAGCCUUGCUAUCUGCGCCUGGCAUGUAGAAUGAAGACUGGAUCGUUUGGAGCAAAGGCCUCCCUGCAGUCACUGACAGGAAGGGAUGAUGGGACCAGAGGCAGGAUGGGCAGUUGGAGCAGCUGUCUGGAUUUGAAACGUUCUGUAUCCAGGGUGAAAAUGGCUAACUUGUUUUCUAUUGCAAAGCCAGGUUUCACUCAAGGAAAGAUUCCUUAGGCUGGAGUGGCAUUGGACAAGUGGCAAAUCUUCUGACAGCAUGGUCAUUGGAGGAGAAAUGCUCUUGCACUCGGUCAUGCAAACCUGCUUUAGUCACAAAGGCGCAUCUUGGUUGCAAAGUUUCUAUUCUUCCUUUUCGCCCGAGGAAAAGAUUACUGGGAAAUGCAUUGGUUAAAGUUGACAAAAUGACAUUGUUUGCAUGCCUGCAGCUACACAUAUGCUUGUGCUUUGCUGCACUGGGGCAACAAGUCAUGUACACUGCUUUCCAAAACAUAGAUAAGAUAAUGCAGGCGCUUUAUAAAUUAAAACUUCAUAAACACAUAGAGCAUUUUUGGCUGGUACUACACUAACAUCUCAAUUGUUUUAGUUAUGUUUUGCAGAGUUUUGUUUUGCUUUGUUAGUAUAAUCUGUGCUCGGAGUAAACGAUGAAAAAACAGGCAAAUGGUUUGUAUUUAUAUUUUAUUAGAUUUUCUUGACACGUUGAAAGUCACUUGUCUGUUAUAAAAAGUAAGGUAACAGAAACCAUCCCAAAACAAUAAUGACUUUAUGGGUUUAUAAACAAUAGUAGCAUGUUUGCCAAGAUGGCUAGUAACUGUUUGGACCUGUCUUUUUAGCCUGACAUUUUUUCUAAGAAGAGAAAACACAAGAGACAAGUUUCCUCUCCUAGCACGUUGGCAGAAGUACAGAAACCCCAUUCUUAAUGUGAUGGGACUCAUAAAUGGACAACUAUUCAACUAAUAAAACUGUCAAAUGCAUUCAUUGUACAUGUGGUUAAAAGGUUAGACAUUUAAAGGGCAUCACCAUGCUAAAUGUACUGCUUUAUGUAAGGACUGACUUCUCAUUAAUUUAUUUACCUAAUCAAUGAAUUGUAGUGCUUAUGAUAGACUUGGGUUUUACUUGUUUUCACUAGCCUAUGUAUAAGAAAAUAAGAAAAAGCACUUAUGUUUUUUAUUAAGAAGGAAAAGAAAAACUUUAUUACCUUACACAGUAAAUUU